UAUAAAAUACUUAUAAAAGGACAAUUUUACAGGGAUUAUAUAAUAUUCAUAUAAAAUAAAGAAAACCUUAUAUAUUGGAAUUUCCUUAUUUAUUUGCAAGUAUUUGAAGAAACCAUGUUUGUGGGAUAUAAUUUUUACAACUUAUGAAGAAGAUCUAUUGAAUAUAAAGGAGGUUCUACAACAAGAUUUGGGUCAAGAACCAGUUAUAUUUUUGAAAGACUUAAACUUUGAAAUUUUGAAGGCCAUGGUUGAAUUCAUGUAUUGUGGAGAAACAAAAAUUCCUUAUCAAUUAUUAUCACCUUUGUUAACUGCCACAAAAAAAUUUAAGGUU